rnacentral:rRNA from 1 species
GAGAAAUGAAAUAAACCAGUAAGCUAAGAAAAGCAGAGACAAAACCUCGUACCUUUUGCAUCAUGAUUUAGCAAGUAUACCCAAGCAAAAAGAAUUUUAGUUUGGCCCCCCGAAACCAGGUGAGCUACUACAAGACAACCUUCAGUUAGGGUUAAUCCGUCUCUGUGGCAAAAGAGUGGAAAGAGCUUUGAGUAGAGGUGACAGACCUAUCGAACUUGGUAAUAGCUGGUUGCUUGAGAGACGAAUAGGAGUUCUGCUUCUUAUAUUCUUACCCCAAACCUAUAUUCUACCAAAGGAGAAAGAAAAUAAGAGAGUUAAUCAAAAGGGGAACAGCCCGUUUGAUAUAAGAUACAACUUUCCCAGGAGGAUAAAGAUCAUAAUAUUUAAGGUAAAUAUGUCUUGGUGGGCUUAAGAGCAGCCAUCCAGCCAGAAAGCGUUAAAGCUCUAACACAAUUUUCCCCUUAGAUCCCGAUAACAAAUCUUAACCCCCUAGAUUGUACCAAGCCGUCCCAUGAACUUAUGGGAGUGAUUAUGCUAAAAUGAGUAACCAGAGAGCACCGACUCUCUCCCUGCACAAGUGUAAUUCGGAACGGACCCCCCGCCGAAGAUUAACGGCCCCAACCCAACAGAGGGCAUUGGGAUAGUAUUAGCAGACAAGAAAACCACCCAAAACAUUACCGUUAACCCCACACUGGACUGCUCCAAGGGAAAGACUAAAAGGAAAAGAAGGAACUCGGCAAACACAAUUGAGCCUCGCCUGUUUACCAAAAACAUCGCCUCUCGACUAAUUACACAUGAGAGGUCCCGCCUGCCCUGUGACCCCUGGUUUAACGGCCGCGGUAUUCUGACCGUGCGAAGGUAGCGCAAUCACUUGUCCCCUAAAUGAGGACCUGUAUGAAUGGCAUAACGAGGGCUUAACUGUCUCCUUUCCCCAGUCAAUGAAAUUGAUCUCCCCGUGCAGAAGCGGGGAUCUAAACAUAAGACGAGAAGACCCUAUGGAGCUUUAGACUAAAGAACAGGCCAUGUCAGCUACCGCCCUAAGCAGGUAAUAACUAUUGAAACUCUGUUCUUUUGUCUUUGGUUGGGGCGACCAUGGGGUAUAAAAAAACCUCCAUGUGGACCGAGAGCAUACAACUCUCAAAACCACGAGCCGCAGCUCUAACGCGCAGAAUAUCUGACCAGAACGAUCCGGCAGAGCCGAUCAACGGACCGAGUUACCCUAGGGAUAACAGCGCAAUCCUCUUUAAGAGUCCUUAUCGACAAGAGGGUUUACGACCUCGAUGUUGGAUCAAGACAUCCUAAUGGUGCAGCCGCUAUUAAGGGUUCGUUUGUUCAACGAUUAAAGUCUU